ACGGCUCAGUAACACGUGGCCAACCUGCCCUUGGGACGGGAACACCCCCGGGAAACUGGGGUUAAUUCCCGAUAGGUGAAGAAGUCUGGAAUGAAUCUUCGCUCAAAAGACGUUUAUGUCAUGCUCAUAUUCGUCGCCCAGGGAUGGGGCCGCGACCGAUCAGGUAGUUGGUGAGGCAAUGGCUCACCAAGCCUUUUACCGGUGCGGGCCGUGAGAGCGGGAGCCCGGAGAUGGGCACUGAGACAAGGGCCCAGGCCCCACGGGGCGCAGCAGUCGCGAAAACUUUGCAAUACACGAAAGUGUGACAGGGCUAUCCCGAGUGCCAUCCGCUGAGGAAGGCUUUUACCCAGUAUAAAUAGCUGGGAGAAUAAGGAGAGGGCAAGUCUGGUGUCAGCCGCCGCGGUAAUACCAGCUCUCCGAGUAGUGUGGACGUUUAUUGGGCCUAAAGCAUCCGUAGCUUGCUAGAUAAGUCCUCUGUUAAAUCCACCGAUUCAAUCGUUGGAUUGCGGGGGAUACUGUUUGGCUAGGGGACGGGAGAGGUCGACGGUAUUUCCGGGGUAGGGGUGAAAUCCUAUAAUCCCGGGAAGACCACCAGUGGCGAAGGCUGUCGACUAGAACGCGCCCGACGGUGAGGGAUGAAAGCUGGGGGAGCGAACCGGAUUAGAUACCCGGGUAGUCCCAGCUGUAAACGAUGCAGGCUAGGUGUUUGGGCGGCCACGAGCCGCCCUAGUGCCGCAGGGAAGCUGUUAAGCCUGCCGCCUGGGGAGUACGGCCGCAAGGCUGAAACUUAAAGGAAUUGGCGGGGGAG
rnacentral:rRNA from 1 species